CCUACGGGAGGCAGCAGUGGGGAAUAUUGGACAAUGGGCGAAAGCCUGAUCCAGCCAUGCCGCGUGUGUGAAGAAGGCCUUCGGGUUGUAAAGCACUUUCAGUGGGGAAGAAAGCCUUGGGGCUAAUACCCUCGAGGAAGGACAUCACCCACAGAAGAAGCACCGGCUAACUCCGUGCCAGCAGCCGCGGUAAUACGGAGGGUGCGAGCGUUAAUCGGAAUUACUGGGCGUAAAGCGCGCGUAGGCGGUCUGAUAAGCCGGUUGUGAAAGCCCCGGGCUCAACCUGGGAACGGCAUCCGGAACUGUCAGGCUAGAGUGCAGGAGAGGAAGGUAGAAUUCCCGGUGUAGCGGUGAAAUGCGUAGAGAUCGGGAGGAAUACCAGUGGCGAAGGCGGUCUUCUGGACUGACACUGACGCUGAGGUGCGAAAGCGUGGGUAGCAAACAGGAUUAGAUACCCUUGUAGUC
rnacentral:rRNA from 1 species